UAAAGGGUUCAUACUGCCAGAAGAGAUUGGAAUAAUUCUGAAGGGAAAGAGGACCCUUAGAUUGGCCUGACAGAUAAAGACAUCAUCAUCAUUGCCAUGAAGGUGAACAGAAGAUGUGGCAAGGCAGAAGAAUGGUUGACAAUCCGUAUGGUAGUAUGCCUGGCAGGAAGUGUCAAUUCCCUACCACAAAGGCUGCCCUCAGAUUCUUCUCCUAAGGAGAAGACAAGAGAAAUCAGACCGCUCACAGGGACACAAUGUUGAAGAGGACAAAGGGCAAGCCUAAAGAGAAUAGCAGAGUAUAGUACAGCACUGCAAAGAAUACAGUAUUCAUUCUCUGCUCUUGCCUCCCAGUGAUUUU